GGGGAAUAUUGGACAAUGGGCGAAAGCCUGAUCCAGCCACGCCGCGUGAGUGAUGAAGGCCUUCGGGUUGUAAAGCUCUGUCGGGAGGGACGAAGUUCUGACGGUACCUCCCAAGAAAGCGCCGGCUAACUCCGUGCCAGCAGCCGCGGUAAUACGGAGGGCGCAAGCGUUGCUCGGAAUCACUGGGCGUAAAGCGAACGCAGGCGGCUGAGUGUGUCGGAUGUGAAAGCCCCAGGCUCAACUUGGGAACUGCAUUCGAAACUGCUCGGCUUGAGUCCGGAAGAGGGUGGUGGAAUUCCUGGUGUAGAGGUGAAAUUCGUUGAUAUCAGGAGGAACACCGGCGGCGAAGGCGGCCACCUGGUCCGGUACUGACGCUCAUGUUCGAAAGCGUGGGUAGCAAAC
rnacentral:rRNA from 1 species